AUUUUUUAGCAUUGCCCCAGAGCUGGAGGCCAUAGGUCCAUAUUGGCUUGAGUAGGGAUUUAUAAAUUAGGAGUUUGACAUUUAGAGGAGUAUGUUGUUUGAGAUUAGGAUUUUAAGGAUGCGGAGACGAGCAUUUAGGGCAAGCUUUUUAAUUUUGAUGUGGUGUGACCAUGUGAGUCGGCAGGUAUAAAUUAAAUAACUUUAUGUAUCCCACCUUCCCAACUACCCACCUUCAACUAUGGCCGCAACUAUUCUCAGUAUCUGCUUUUUUUUUUUUAUCCAUAUUGUAAUAUAUUACUAGCUGUUCAAUAUAUGACACUGCCCGUGACGAAUAAAAUGCAUCUAAUGUAAGUACAUGGAUAAUAAAGUUGAUGAUUUUUCAUCCGUGUCUCUCUAAGAAGGUAACCAAGAAAUUAUAACGAAAACAAAAUAUGCAAUUGUUGUAUUUUAAUCAUCAGAUUCAUGCGUGGGAAGUCGAAUUGUAAGGUCGAAUUUUAUUGCGAUACAUGGUCUAAUAAGGGUUAUGCGUUGAAAAAUAUAUUUUUUUAAAUUUUGUUGAUUGGCUAUGAUUUUUAUUAUGUUUUAUUUAGGUAUGUCUCUAAUUAAUAUUGUAGUAGUGAUGUAUUCACUAUAGACUUUAAAUAUUACAUUCUUUAUUAAAAUUGGCCUUGUACCGUAAUAAACAAAUAUCUAUAAUGUC